AAUUAACUUAAUUAGUUGAUUUUUCUAAAACACCCGCUUCACAAUGUGAGAAUACCCUUUCUACCACCCUCCCACUUUCCUCUACACAAAGUCAGACCAACCUUCAUAAAUACAUUUUGAUCUCUUUCACACUAAUACAUUUUUUCUACAGAGGUCACAAAUUCUAUGCUUGCACCGUCUGUUGGAUGUCCACUAAGAC
rnacentral:lncRNA from 1 species